CCUUUUUAUGCUUCUCUCCCACUCUCCUGGAGUUCUCCCAGAAUAAUAUGCUGAGAAUGUUGAUAAGGUUGGAAUUGCCCCAAGGCCUUGCACCAGGAGCAAAGACUUUGCUCCUAAAGCAGACAUUCAGAUCUGGAAAAUCUGAAAGAAGUAACUUCAGAAGGCCUUAUAAAAGAUGUGCACUAGGAAGAAGAAAAUCUAGAACCCUGAGUUAGCCUGGUGGGAAGGUCAGCCUCAGCUGAAGCCUCAACAGGCAGCUUGGAUGCUUCUUGACAUCUACACUAAGGUGAGUUCAAAGUGGG